AUUGAACGCUGGCGGCAGGCCUAACACAUGCAAGUCGAGCGGCGCAGCGGACGGGUGAGUAAUGCCUAGGAAUCUGACUGGUAGUGGGGGAUAAGGUCCGGAAACGGGCGCUAAUACCACAUACUCUUAGCUGCACCUAGGUCGGAUUAGCUAGUUGGUGGGGUAAAGGCCUACCAAGGCGACGAUCCGUAACUGGUCUGAGAGGAUGAUCAGUCACACUGGAACUGAGACACGGUCCAGACUCCUACGGGAGGCAGCAGUGGGGAAUAUUGGACAAUGGGCGAAAGCCUGAUCCAGCCAUGCCGCGUGUGUGAAGAAGGUCUUCGGAUUGUAAAGCACUUUAAGUUGGGAGGCGUUACCAACAGAAGAAGCACCGGCUAACUUCGUGCCAGCAGCCGCGGUAAUUC
rnacentral:rRNA from 1 species